GUUUUAUUGUUUUUGCUCUUGCAGCUUUUGCCCCCUCUUUUCCUUCGUCUUAUUUUGCAUGUUCCCAUGAACUAAUUGGGCAUUUUGUUUAUGUUUAAUUUGUUUGAAUAUCCACAUUAGUUUUAGUUCAAGGAAUUAAAGUGCAUAGAAGUUGGAUUAUUCCAAUUUUAUUUUCGAAAUAGCUAAACAUAAUUUGUUAAUAAUCUAAUUCAAGUUAUUCAAAUAUAAA
rnacentral:misc_RNA from 1 species